AGUUCCCCGGCUGGCUGCGGUCACUGGUGCCAGUGCUCAGGCGCCUGCUGCCCUUGACCUCCCGCCCCGCGAGCCCUAACUCAGCUCAGGAGGACCGGCUGCCGCCGCCGCCGCCGCCAGAUCCACACAACUUAAAGAUCUGCUGCCGAGUGAAUGGGGAAGUGGUCCAGAGCAGCAACACCAACCAGAUGGUAUUCAAGACAGAGGACCUGAUAGCCUGGGUCUCCCAGUGAGUGACAGGGGCUGUCCUGCCAGCCCCGCUCCACCUGCCACACAUGUGGAGGCUGACCUGAGCCCUCCACCUUUGGCUGUGGCCACCUCAGCCAGCCCCUGGUCUCACCGGGUCCUUUUGCUUUGCUCCAGGUUUGUCACCUUUUACCCAGGGGAUGUCAUCCUGACUGGGACUCCCCCAGGUGUCGGUGUAUUCAGGAAACCUCCUGUCUUUCUCAAGGUAGGUUAGCGAAAAGCAAAGAGAGCAAGGGCCCCAAAGGCCUGGCAGGCUUGGCUCA
rnacentral:sRNA from 1 species